rnacentral:rRNA from 1 species
GAUUAACGCUGGCGGCGUGCAUAACACAUGCAAGUCGAACGAUGAAACUUAGUCGACUUCUUCGGAAAGACACUAAGCGGAUUAGUGGCGAACGGGUGAGUAACGCGUGAGUAACCUGCCUUACACAAGGGGAUAGCCUUUGGAAACGAAGAAUAAUACCCUAUAAAACUAUAAAAGCACAUGCUAUAAUGGUCAAAGUGAUAGCGGUGUAAGAUGGACUUGCGUCUGAUUAGCUAGUUGGUGAGAUAAAAGCUCACCAAGGCAACGAUCAGUAGCCGGCUUGAGAGAGUGUACGGCCACAUUGGGACUGAGACACGGCCCAGACUCCUACGGGAGGCAGCAGUGGGGAAUUUUGCACAAUGGGGGAAACCCUGAUGCAGCGACGCCGCGUGAUUUAGAAGGCCUUCGGGUUGUAAAAAUCUUUUGUAUAGGAAGAAAAUGACAGUACUAUACGAAUAAGGUCCGGCUAAGUACGUG